rnacentral:rRNA from 1 species
UAAAUAGANNNCCCAACANUAGUUGAUUACANUGAACAAGUUACUGUAGGGAUAACAGCGUAAUAUAUAUCUAAAGUUCUUAUUUUGAUAUAAGUUUGCGACCUCGAUGUUGAAUUNAUAUUACUUUCAAGCGCAAGAGCCUGAAAAGUGGGUCUGUUCGACCCCUAAAUAUAUACAUGAUUUGAGUUCAAAUCGGUGUAAACCAGAUUGGUUUCUAUCUAUUNUUAUUUGUGUCUUAGUACGAAAGGACCUGAAACAAUAUUAUAUAAUNAUUUAUAUGGCAGAAAAAUGCUUUAGAUUUAGGAUCUAAUUAUAAUAGAUUAUUAUACUCUAUUUAACUUGCCUAAUCUCUGUUAUUAGAAUCCUUAUCGCAGUAGCUUUUUAUACCCUCCUAGAGCG